GCAGUGGUGGGUCAGUGGUAGACUUCUCACCUUCUAUGCAGGAAAACCAGGUUCAAUUUCUGGCCAAUCCA
rnacentral:tRNA from 1 species